UUGAACGCUGGCGGCAUGCCUUACACAUGCAAGUCGAACGGUAGAGGGGCAACCCUUGAGAGUGGCGAACGGGUGAGUAAUAUAUCGGAACGUGCCCAGUCGUGGGGGAUAACGCAGCGAAAGCUGCGCUAAUACCGCAUACGAUCUAAGGAUGAAAGCGGGGGAUCGCAAGACCUCGCGCGAUUGGAGCGGCCCGAUAUCAGAUUAGGUAGUUGGUGGGGUAAAAGCCC
rnacentral:rRNA from 1 species